rnacentral:rRNA from 1 species
UACGGAGGAUCCAAGCGUUAUCCGGAAUUAUUGGGCGUAAAGAGCUCGUAGGCGGUUUGUCGCGUCUGCCGUGAAAGUCCGGGGCUCAACUCCGGAUCUGCGGUGGGUACGGGCAGACUAGAGUGAUGUAGGGGAGACUGGAAUUCCUGGUGUAGCGGUGAAAUGCGCAGAUAUCAGGAGGAACACCGAUGGCGAAGGCAGGUCUCUGGGCAUUAACUGACGCUGAGGAGCGAAAGCAUGGGGAGCGAACAGG